rnacentral:rRNA from 1 species
UGUUUGAUGUUCUAACGUGGACCCGUGAUCCGGGUUGCGGACAGUGUCUGGUGGGUAGUUUGACUGGGGCGGUCUCCUCCUAAAGAGUAACGGAGGAGCACGAAGGUUGGCUAAUCCUGGUCGGACAUCAGGAGGUUAGUGCAAUGGCAUAAGCCAGCUUGACUGCGAGCGUGACGGCGCGAGCAGGUGCGAAAGCAGGUCAUAGUGAUCCGGUGGUUCUGAAUGGAAGGGCCAUCGCUCAACGGAUAAAAGGUACUCCGGGGAUAACAGGCUGAUACCGCCCAAGAGUUCAUAUCGACGGCGGUGUUUGGCACCUCGAUGUCGGCUCAU